UCCCUGGAGGACUAGUGGUUAGGCCACAGCGCUCUCAGCGCAGCGGCCCAGGUUCGAUUCCUGGCCAGGGAA